UACAGAGGGGCAAGCGUUGUUCGGAAUUACUGGGCGUAAAGGGUGCGUAGGCGGGUCGUUAAGUGCCUUGUGAAAUCCCACAGCUCACCUGUGGAACUGCUUGGCAUACUGGCGAUCUUGAGCCACUUAGGGGGCAACCGGAACAAAACCGGUGGAGCGGUGAAAUGCGUAGAUAUCGUUUGAACGCCAAUGGUGAAAACAGGUUGCUGG
rnacentral:rRNA from 1 species